rfam:Octopus bimaculoides Scaffold113956_contig_21, whole genome shotgun sequence.
UAUAUAUAUAUAUAUGAUACAGAUACUAAAAUGAUACAGAGAAGAUUAGCAUGGCCCCUGCGCAAUGAUAACAUGCAAAUUCGUGAAGCGUUCCAUAUUUUU